AGCUUUGCGCAGUGGCAGUAUCGUAGCCAAUGAGGUUUAUCUGAGGCGCGAUUAUUGCUAAUUGAAAACUUUGAGACAGACAAUUAAUCAUCAGUUUGUCAUCUCUUUGCUAACAGAUUUCAACAGAUUUUAACACAGAUUUUAAUU
rnacentral:snRNA from 1 species